GACGAACGCUGGCGGCGUGCCUAACACAUGCAAGUCAACUUGACUGAAGGAGCAAUCUGACAGUAGAGUGGCGCAAGGGUGCGUAACGCGUAAGUAACUUGCCCCAAGGUAAGGAAUAAACGUCGAGAAAUCGGCGCUAAUACCUCAUAAUGCAGCGGAUCCGCAUGGAUAUGUUGUUAAAGGUUUUACCGCCUUGGGAUAGGCUUGCGUCUGAUUAGCUAGUUGGUGUGGUAACGGCACACCAAGGCUACGAUCAGUAACUGGUCUGAGAGGAUGAUCAGUCACACUGGAACUGAGACACGGUCCAGACUCCUACGGGAGGCAGCAGUGAGGAAUAUUGGGCAAUGCUCGAAAGAGUGACCCAGCAACGCCGCGUGAGGAUGAAGGUAUUCUAUAUCGUAAA
rnacentral:rRNA from 1 species